rfam:[Clostridium] hungatei strain DSM 14427 CLHTN_contig000007, whole genome shotgun sequence.
CCGUACUAGAUGGGGAGGUAGCGGUGCCCUGUACCUGCAAUCCGCUAUAGCAGGAUUGAACUCCUGUCAGAGGUUUAAGUAUGUAGUGCCUGCCCUUUAUAAGUGGCAAUGAAAAUUGGGUCUUGCGCAAUAGAAGUCUGUGAACCCCGUCAGGUCCGGAAGGAAGCAGCGGUAAGCGGUUAAUUCUGUGUGCCGCUGGGUUACCUGGUUAGAGUUAACUGUAAAGGUAACGGCUAUGUAUUUCUAUCGACGAUGGGUGUACGG